AUGGGAGCUUGCUCCCUGAUGUUAGCGGCGGACGGGUGAGUAACACGUGGGUAACCUGCCUGUAAGACUGGGAUAACUCCGGGAAACCGGGGCUAAUACCGGAUGCUUGUUUGAACCGCAUGGUUCAAACAUAAAAGGUGGCUUCGGCUACCACUUACAGAUGGACCCGCGGCGCAUUAGCUAGUUGGUGAGGUAAUGGCUCACCAAGGCGACGAUGCGUAGCCGACCUGAGAGGGUGAUCGGCCACACUGGGACUGAGACACGGCCCAGACUCCUACGGGAGGCAGCAGUAGGGAAUCUUCCGCAAUGGACGAAAGUCUGACGGAGCAACGCCGCGUGAGUGAUGAAGGUUUUCGGAUCGUAAAGCUCUGUUGUUAGGGAAGAACAAGUACCGUUCGAAUAGGGCGGUACCUUGACGGUACCUAACCAGAAAGCCACGGCUAACUACGUGCCAGCAGCCGCGGUAAUACGUAGGUGGCAAGCGUUGUCCGGAAUUAUUGGGCGUAAAGGGCUCGCAGGCGGUUUCUUAAGUCUGAUGUGAAAGCCCCCGGCUCAACCGGGGAGGGUCAUUGGAAACUGGGGAACUUGAGUGCAGAAGAGGAGAGUGG
rnacentral:rRNA from 1 species